GACGAACCGUGCGAACGUUAUUCGGAAUCAUUGGGCUUAAAGGGCGCGUAGGCGGCGGCGUAAGUUGGAAGUGAAAUCCCAUCGGCUCAACCGUGGAAUUGCUCCCAGUACUGCGACGCUCGAGGGGGAUAGGGGUCUGCGGAACUACCGGUGGAGCGGUGAAAUGUGUUGAUAUCGGUGGGAACGCCAGUGGCGAAAGCGGCAGACUGGACCCUUCCUGACGCUGAUGCGCGAAAGCUAGGGGAGCAAACGGG
rnacentral:rRNA from 1 species